CUUUGAGUGGGUGACAGACUCCCUAGAAUCUCUUCCAAUUCAAAUCACCUCCUGAGCCAAUGCAGUUCUCCAAAAUAGGAGAGAUUACUAAUGGCAGAGAAGGGAGGCACGUGUGUCUUUUUAGGAGAGGAAUGCUAUUAUUUCACCAGAAAUCUGGAAUAGUCCAAGAAAAAACAGCUGAGCUCCAGGAGAGCAUGGAGAAAUACCACUGGGAACAGUAGCAGUCAUCUCCCUGGAACCUUUUGGGCUACACUCUCCCUUGGCUGCUCCAUUAAUGGGCCUUCUCCCUACACUCAUCAUACUGCUUUUAAUACGACCUUGUUCAACUGCAACUGCAUGUUGAAAACUUUUUUUACAAGAUAAAGUAAAGGCACUUACUAAUCAGACUGUAAACAGGUUCCUUAUGAGCCAAUAUAGCACUCACCCUGAAGUUCCCGCUAAACCAUUAUUUGCCCCCGUUCAGCUGGAAGAAACCAGAACAAACCAUGCCCCUUAUCAUUAUAAGACAAAAGGCUGGAAUGUUAGGUUCUUCGGCCAAAAUAACUCCAUUUUGAAGAUCUGCACCUGCCCACCCAGGCAUGACCAUCCCAUUAGGCCCACCUCCAAAGAGUUCCUAACUACUGAAACCACAAGACAUCAAGUAAAAGUCACAGGACCAGAUGGGUUAUUUUUAACUACUUCAUUGUACAUGACUAUAUAGUUAAGAAGCUUUU
rnacentral:lncRNA from 1 species